GUUCCAAUGUCAGCUGCCGUGCGUACAGAUGUGCCACCACACGGUGUGGACCCUCAGUCAGGUGUGAACUCAGGUAAUCAGCUUCGGUAAGGCGUAGGCCGCCCAGGCCCAGGCCCAGCACCCGAUUCAAGCCAUCCUCCAGCGACCAGAAGCGCCGGUCCACGAAACCCCCGGGAAAGCCUAGCAGCCCGUCGAAGCGCAUCUGCAUCUGCAAGCUCCGGAACCGUCGUGGUCGACAUCUUGAUGUGCUCCAGGCCCACUGCCCAAACGAGCAUGCGCGACCCCGCCCACAACACCAGACCCAAUCCUCGUGCUUCCACGUGCAUAAAGCCCGCCUCCACCAGUCCUGUGCUUCUGGGGUUGAACCCAGGAAAGACCCUGGCGGAGGCGGGGUGGGGUGGGGGUGGAGUUAUGUAGUUCGCCACCCUCCAAGUUGCACAGGAGACCCCACAACCACCAGAAAACUACAGCUACCAAGACGCACCGCACGGAGACCAGGUUGUCCUAAGCAGGAGCGCAGCUCAAGGGGGACAGCAAGUUCUGAGAAACCAUGAACCGAUUAAAACCAAAGCAGCAGCACCAGGCCUGGCUCCCUGGCUCAUGGGAGAGGGCUACCGCCAAGAAGUCUCACCAACUAGGCACUUCCCAGACAGGCUGUGUGAACCUGGCUGCGAUGGUGCCAUCCUGGGGAAGCCUAAUAGGGAAGGCUGCUAGCCCCUCUGGAAGAACCUUAAGAAGAAAGAAGAGUCCCCGCUUGCCAGCUUAGUUUUCACGGAUGCUUCUGUAACAAUCUGGGCUACUCUGUGGCCAUGCAUCUCUCUCCAACCCCACUGGUCCCUAAGAGUGUGCAUGCGUGUGUGUGCGCGCGCGCGUGUGUGUGUGUGUGCGUGUGUGUGUGUGUGUGUGUGUGUGCGCGCGCGCGCGUGUGCAUGUGUGUGUGGUGUGUGUGUGCAUGUGCACGUGUGUGUGUGUGUGUGUGCGUGUACAUGUGGUGUGUGUGUGCAUGUGCACCUGUGUGUGUGCAUGUGCACCUGUGUGUGUGUGUGCGCGCGCGCGUGUGCAUGUGUGUGUGGUGUGCGUGCGUGUGUGUGUGUGUGUGGUGUGUGUGUGUGCAUGUGCACGUGUGUAUGCGCGUGUGUGUGUGUGCGCAUGUGUGUGUGGUGUGUGUGUGCGUGUGUGUGUGGUGUGUCAGGUGUCAGAGACAGGAUGAACAGGUUCCCAGUGGCAAUGAUGGUCUCAAGACAGAAAGCUGAGCAGUCCACAAGAGAGCUGCAUACCAGGACAGGGGACAGAGGACACAGUGACAAGUGAAGGAGGCGUGGCGAAUGUCCUCUGCACAGCAAUUGAGAGGCUUUUGUUUUGUUGUUUCGUUUCGUUUUUUAAACCAGAGACAGGGUUUCUCUGUGUAGCCCUGGCUAUCUAUCCUGUAACAACUCCCUCUCUAGACCAUGAUGUCCUGGAACUCAGGAGAUCUGCUUGCUUCCGCCUCCUGAGUGCUGGGAUUGAAGGCAUGUACCACCAUGUCUGGCAUUUUAUUUUUUUAAUGUUUUAUUCUCAUUUUAAGUAUG
ensembl:lincRNA Gm16861 predicted gene, 16861